rnacentral:misc_RNA from 1 species
AAGUCGUAACAAGGUUUCCGUAGGUGAACCUGCGGAAGGAUCAUUAACACGUAUCCAAACGUUAAACCCCCCCCGUGAACCUUCAUCGUGCUCUAGUGGGCCACUGAUAAACACAGCAAUCCCUGGUAAAUCAUUGUAACAAGCCUUUGAGUCAGGAACCUCUGUGCAGUGCGAGCUACACCCGCAUUGUUUCCCCACAGCCAGUGCGUGAAAGUGGCAACUGACUGUAGGAUAACGCUUAACGAUUUUGCAGCCGCAACACGCGGGCAGAGCUUUGCCAAAGGGUCCCCAUGCCCCUUCCUUCUGCCGAUUUCACAUACAAAGCUCCAUUUUCAAUUAUGGAUGGGUUAAAACCGAACAACUGUUAACAAUGGAUAUCUUGGUUCUC